CCCCUCUCUGAGCAACCAAAUCUGCAAAGCAUAAAAAUGCACAAAAUACUUACCCUCACAAAUGAAGCCUUUUGUGUGAAAAUAUGGUAACUAUUAAUUUAGAUAUGCCAGCGCUGAAUAAAGUAACUUCAGGCGUAAUGAAACUGAACACGAUAGACCAGCACUUUGGACGGCUCAGUCCCAAUAAUAUUUUUUGUAUAAACCUCAGAAGUCUGGAUCUGGUCACUAUUC